rnacentral:tRNA from 1 species
GCGGAAGUGGCGGAACUGGCAUACGCGUACGCCUCAGAAGCGUAUGGGUUAUCCCUUGAGGGUUCGACUCCCUCCUUCCGCACCA